rnacentral:rRNA from 1 species
UUCCUACGGGGCAGCAGUAGGGAAUCUUCCGCAAUGGACGAAAGUCUGACGGAGCAACGCCGCGUGAGUGAUGAAGGUUUUCGGAUCGUAAAGCUCUGUUGUUAGGGAAGAACAAGUACCGUUCGAAUAGGGCGGUACCUUGACGGUACCUAACCAGAAAGCCACGGCUAACUACGUGCCAGCAGCCGCGGUAAUACGUAGGUGGCAAGCGUUGUCCGGAAUUAUUGGGCGUAAAGGGCUCGCAGGCGGUUUCUUAAGUCUGAUGUGAAAGCCCCCGGCUCAACCGGGGAGGGUCAUUGGAAACUGGGGAACUUGAGUGCAGAAGAGGAGAGUGGAAUUCCACGUGUAGCGGUGAAAUGCGUAGAGAUGUGGAGGAACACCAGUGGCGAAGGCGACUCUCUGGUCUGUAACUGACGCUGAGGAGCGAAAGCGUGGGGAGCGAACAGGAUUAGAUAC